rfam:Fukomys damarensis contig131761, whole genome shotgun sequence.
UUAUCCUGGUCUGUGCCUUUCCUGCUCACCUGUGCCUAAUGCUAACAAGGUAGCCUGGUAGGACACAUAGCAGUCUCCCUUUCAGUUAAUGAGGUCCAUCCGAUCAGGGAGAGCUAUUUAAAAAAACAGAAAAGAAAAAA